UGUGGACGCCGGAGCCAGCUGGAACCCUGCUGCGGCUGCCCUCCUGCAGCUCGCUCGGCCCCUCAUCCCGGUGAGCACCGCGGCGCAGCCCCCCGCCCCUCGUCCCGGCAAGCCCCGCUACCAUCUGGGCGUCAGCCUUUCAAGAAGCCAAGAGCGGAUGUGUUUGCCUGUGAAGGAAGCUUAGUAAGCAAGAUUUAGAACUCUCCAGUGUUGUGUCCAGAAGAAGAAAUGAUUAAGGGGAAGGGCAAGCACAGUGACAGGUCCCAUUGCUGUCUAUAUCGAGAACUCCAAGAUGAAAUGCAGAUUCCCCAGGAAGUGGGCAAGGUGAUCUCCUGAGGCACAGAAAGAACUUCUAGAGAUUCUACUUAUAUCCACAUUUUAUCUGAUGCUUUUUAAUUUCUAUUUUUGUG